rnacentral:rRNA from 1 species
UACGGAAGGCAGCAGUGGGGAAUAUUGCACAAUGGGCGCAAGCCUGAUGCAGCCAUGCCGCGUGUAUGAAGAAGGCCUUCGGGUUGUAAAGUACUUUCAGUCGUGAGGAAGGUGUUAAGGUUAAUAACCUUAGCAAUUGACGUUAGCGACAGAAGAAGCACCGGCUAACUCCGUGCCAGCAGCCGCGGUAAUACGGAGGGUGCGAGCGUUAAUCGGAAUUACUGGGCGUAAAGGGCACGCAGGCGGUUAAUUAAGUUGGAUGUGAAAUCCCCGGGCUUAACCUGGGAAUGGCAUUCAAGACUGGUUAGCUAGAGUCUUGUAGAGGGGGUAGAAUUCCAUGUGUAGCGGUGAAAUGCGUAGAGAUGUGGAGGAAUACCGGUGGCGAAGGCGGCCCCUGGGACAAAGACUGACGCUCAUGUGCGAAAGCGUGGGGAGCAAAGUAGGGAUUAGAU